CCUACGUUGUGCUGCAGUAGGGAAUUUUCGUCAAUGGGCGCAAGCCUGAACGAGCACUGCCGCGUGAACGAGGAAGGUCUUCGGAUCGUAACGUUCUGUUGAAGGGGAAAAAGAGCGGAGAGAGGAAAUGGUCUCCGAUUGAUAUUACCCUUCGAGGAAGUCACGGCUAACUACGUGCCAGCAGCCGCGGUAAUACGUAGGUGGCGAGCGUUCUCCGGACUGAUUGGGCGUACAGGGUGCGUAGGCGGCCUGCUAAGUCUGGAGUGAAAGGUACCGGCUCAAACGGUACAGGCUCUGGAAACUGGCGGGCGAGAGAGCAGGAGAGGGCGGUGGAACGCCAGGUGUAGCGGUA
rnacentral:rRNA from 1 species